UACGAAGGGGGCUAGCGUUGUUCGGAAUUACUGGGCGUAAAGCGUAUGCAGGCGGACUUUUAAGUCGGGGGUGAAAUCCCGAGGCUCAACCUCGGAACUGCCUUCGAUACUGGAAGUCUUGAGUCCGGGAGAGGUGAGUGGAACUCCGAGUGUAGAGGUGAAAUUCGUAGAUAUUCGGAAGAACACCAGUGGCGAAGGCGGCUCACUGGCCCGGUACUGACGCUGAGGCACGAAAGCCAGGGGAGCAAACGGG
rnacentral:rRNA from 1 species